GGCCCAAACUUGAAGUAAGGUAGAUUAGUAAGGUCAGCUGAUCCUACUAUUCUGCUCUACUUCGAAAUUGGGCCC
rfam:Haemonchus placei strain MHpl1 genome assembly, scaffold: HPLM_scaffold0004443